rnacentral:rRNA from 1 species
AGAGUUUGAUUCUGGCUCAGAACGAACGUUAGCGGCGCGCCUAACACAUGCAAGUCGCACGAGAAAGGGCUUCGGCCCCGGUACAGUGGCGCACGGGUGAGUAACACGUAGAUAAUCUUCCCUCGGGUGGUGGAUAACUCUCCGAAAGGAGAGCUAAUACAGCAUGAGACCACGGCUCCCCUGGAGCUGCGGCCAAAGCAGGCCUCUAUACAUAAGCUUGCGCCUGAGGAUGAGUCUGCGGCCCAUCAGCUAGUUGGUAGGGUAAUGGCCUACCAAGGCUAAGACGGGUAGCUGGUCUGAGAGGAUGAACAGCCACACUGGAACUGAGACACGGUCCAGACUCCUACGGGAGGCAGCAGUGGGAACCUUGCGCAAUGGGCGAAAGCCUGACGCAGCGACGCCGCGUGAGCGAUGAAGGCCUUCGGGUUGUAAAGCUCUGUGGGGAGGAAAGAAUAAGGGUUGGCUAAUAUCCAACUUGAUGACGGUACCUCCUUAGCAAGCACCGGCUAACUCUGUGCCAGCAGCCGCGGUAAGACAGAGGGUGCAAACGUUGUUCGGAAUUACUGGGCGUAAAGCGCGUGUAGGCGGCUCUGUAAGUCGGAUGUGAAAUCCCACGGCUCAACCAUGGAAGUGCAUUCGAAACUACAGGGCUAGAGUUCUGGAGAGGAAGAUGGAAUGCUUGGUGUAGAGGUGAAAUUCGUAGAUAUCAAGCGGAACACCGGUGGCGAAGGCGGCCUUCUGGACAGUAACUGACGCUGAGACGCGAAAGCGUGGGGAGCAAACAGGAUUAGAUACCCUGGUAGUCCACGCCGUAAACAUGAGUGCUAGGUGUCACGGGCUUUGACCCUCGUGGUGCCGAAGCUAACGCGUUAAGCACUCCGCCUGGGGAGUACGGUCGCAAGACUAAAACUCAAAGAAAUUGACGGGGGCCCGCACAAGCGGUGGAGCAUGUUGUUUAAUUCGACGCAACGCGAAGAACCUUACCUGGGCUAGAAAGUACAGGAAGUCGGUCGAAAGGUCGAUGUGCCCUUCGGGGAACCUGUGGUUAGGUGCUGCAUGGCUGUCGUCAGCUCGUGUCAUGAGAUGUUGGGUUAAGUCCCGCAACGAGCGCAACCCCUGUUGUUAGUUGCCAGCAUUAAGUUGGGCACUCUAACAAGACUGCCGACCUUUAAGUCGGAGGAAGGUGGGGAUGACGUCAAGUCAUCAUGGCCCUUAUGUCCAGGGCUACAAACGUGCUACAAUGGUCGAUACAAAGGGUUGCGAACCCGCGAGGGGAAGCCAAUCUCAAAAAGUCGACCUCAGUACAGAUAGGAGUCUGCAACUCGACUCCUUGAAGUCGGAAUCGCUAGUAAUCGCUGAUCAGCAUGGCAGCGGUGAAUACGUUCCCGGGCCUUGUACACACCGCCCGUCAAGCCAUGGAAGCCGGGUGUACCUAAAGUCGAUAACCGCAAGGAGUCGCCUAGGGUAAAACUGGUGACUGGGGCUAAGUCGGAACAAGGUA